ACACAUUAUCGAAACAUUUCGCAACGUGUGCUGAUUUUUGUUGCGUGAAAAGCUGAGUUAUGAAAUUAGCGUAAACGUGUUUUGCGUGUUUAAAGUACAUUUCUCGGUAGGUUUUCAUUGACUUGUUCAGAAGAUCAUAUCAGAAAGUAAAGUUUGCUAACUAGGCAAGAAAGAUGUUGUUAUCGCCCCUACUUGGCCACAGAGAAGGCUGGGUGCCCAAAAUCCAAUGACAUCACAAAGUACUUCAGUAUAACCCCACAACCUCUUGGGAGGAAGAGCCUAAUUUCUGAGCAGGUGAAAGAGAAACCUAAAGAUGGCGCCUUGUCAUAUUAGGGGGUCUUAUGAUGAGGUGCCUCUCUCUGUGUCACGGUCAACCAGUAGGCUGCACAGACUCAAGCGGAACAGAUACCCCAAAGCAAGAACAAGCCUCAUCAAGGAUAGCCCCUGCUCAGACCCUCCUAAUAAUGUUAUAGUGAUUUCCGAGUCAAGCUGCUCCAGUGCUGACACAGCAUUCAGGAGCAGGGCAGUGAUGGGGUCUGUGGACCUGUCUCAUGUCACUGGCCAAUGCCAUAGAGCAGGAGUUGGACUUGCAUCUGGCCAGAAUGUAAUAGCAUGUACCCUCACAAUUCAAACAGUGGUGCAGUCUGCCUCUGGGACAACCAGGGUCUCGGAUGAGAAAGUGGCAACUAUUUUCACCAGGAAACAGGACACUAAUAAGGCCCAUAAUACCCAACACUCAGAGACGGAUUUUGAAUUGGUGGUCCAGCUCAACACUUAAACACAACCAGAUUGAGAGGAAGGGGUCAAUUACUUCUGGCUGGAGAGAUAAGUUGUCAGGGUCUGUCCGCAAAGGGUCUCUUGAAGAGGUCAAAGUGUCUAGCCCACUGUUCCCAGUCUUCACUGUGCUGCUGAAGAAAUACAAAGAUAACAUUCUGGAGUCGGAAAGUCCAGAGACGAGAUAGGCGCUGCAUCUCCUAGCUCUGUAGGAGAGAAGAGGAAACAUCAGAAUGAGAGGGAGGACCUGAAACAGUACGCAAGCGCCAAAGGUCUAGCCCGUGGUUAGAGGAGACCAGCUUUACUGGGUAGUCCCUCUUUAGAACACCAAGUCAUGGGGUCUCUUAUCCCCUCUUCCAGGGGUCAGCCUAGAAGAAGCAGGCUGAGCCGAACACAGACUCAGGCAGCAACAGCGGGACAGUCAAGGUCAUGAACUGACCACUAACCCACCAAACCAACCAGAAUCUCCUCAAAAGGUCUAUCCUGCCCAUCCACAGCGAUGCCUUAGGAGAGGAUUUGCUGUGGACAGAAGUACCGCCCUCAGCACUCCAGUGAGGUAAUAGGCAACUCCGCCUCUGUAAAGAAGCUACACAGGUGAGUUGCUAACACCACUGCUAGCUCCUUCAAUGUUUAGCUUUUAUGGUAUGGUGUCUUAAAUGCAUUUCCUUAUUUCUGUUGGCAGUUGGUUAAAGAAAUGUAAACUGACAGUUGAGAGGAGAAAAGAGCUAGAAAGGAAACUAGAGAACCAUGCCAACAGCAAUGGUAAAAAAUAAAAAGUUUAUAUGUUAUGAAUUGAUGGGGGAAAAUGUGUCAAAUAAAACCACCUACUGUAUUAUAAAAAUGUAAAAACCAUCACUGACAAUGAAUCUUCCAUGAAUAACAUUGAUUGUAUUGUCGACCUGAUUUGGCCGUGCAAACUUGUGGGACUGUGGUGAUUUCCAGGGAGAGGCUAGAGUGGAGGAGGAAGAUCAGUGUCGCACCAUGCUGAUCACAGGACCUCCAGGGGUAGGCAAGACUGCCUCAGUAUAUGCCUGCGCUCAGGAGCUGGGCUUCAAGGUGUUCGACGUGAACGCCUCCUCCCAGCACAGUGGUCGCCACGUCCUGACUCAACUGAAGGAGGCCACCCAAUCUCACCUGGGGGAGAUCCAGGGAAGCACCACCUUCAAACCGUCAUCUCAGUAGCUACAACAACACCAACUAAAUCUGACACAGUAGCUGAUAAAAGGAGGCCUCUCCCAGAAAGGUUUUCUCAUCCUCUAGGAAGGGGCCUCAGCUCCCUCGUAGCUCCCACCAUAAGAGAGGUGCAGUGCAGCCUCCAUGAUGCUGGCUAACGUCUUCAAGAAGAAGCGUAAACCAGAGAUCAAACUUAAGACGGCCCUUUGUUAUCUACAAAACAGGACAAGCAACUACCAAACAUUCUUUUUGUCUCAAGACCGUGACUGUGAAGAAGGCAGAUAUUAUUAACCCUACGUUGGUCAGUCAACUGUCACCAGACAUUGAAGAGCCACCAACCGGUAGCCGGAGUAAAAGGAUGUCCACAUCACUCAUUCUAUUUGAAGAGGUUGAUGUCGUAUUCGAUGAUGUGGGAUUCCUCACAGCAAUCAAGACCUUCAUGACGACUACCAAGAGACCCGUGAUACUGACCACUAGUGAUCCCUCCUUCAAGGCCUAAGUUUGGCAGCGACUUUGAAGCGAUCCUUUUUAAAACAACCUUCAGCAGUGAGUCGAGCAUCUUGGCACCAUUGCAUGACCUGCAGACCACUCUAAAGUGCCAGUCCUGGGCUAAACCAGACACCAUCAAGCUAAUGGAGAUCCUUACUGAGAGCUGGAGGAGAGGUGUAGCUUUACUCUACUCGAACCUGGAGCUCCUUCUUCCCCCAUCAAUCAGGACCCAGCCCAGUCCUUUCCUCACCCCAAAGAAAGUGACUCGCUCUAGGCUUCAGAGUGAGCCAACACCCCCUGACAUCCACCACCCUCAGGUCCCAAUGAUCCUGGAUCAGACCAGUUAAGGUAUACUCCAGCUCCAGGCUGAGGAGAAAUGUCUGGCAACAUCUGAUUCCAGAUCAGCUCACAUGUUAGUAAAGCCUUAGCGCCUCACUGUCUUCUGAGAGCUCAUCCAAGUGUAUCAAAUAUUACUGAGACUGUUGAUGACAAACUGAGAAGGCGGCAGAUGGCUUGGUGUACCACUGCUUAGAUGCAAUAACUGACUUUAUGGACCUCGUGUCCUUCAUUGAUACCUCUCAACCGAGUGAGUCUCCACAUAAGGCUGGCCCAUGCAGACCAGGGGUGGAGGUUAAGGACGGACUGCUAGAUGAGAGAGGAUGGGGGCUGUAGGUGGUGGGGUGAGAUGACAUUGGAAAUCCAGGCUGCAGUAGAGGGCCUGGGCUUCCAGAGGUGCCUGGCCAGGGUGUCUGAGGGAUGGGCUGGAUCCCAGAGGCUGGAGGGGGAGGGUGAUGGAGAAACUCAACCUCCCCGUCGCCCCACCCAGACGGGGUUUCAACGUCAGUCAGACCACUUCCUGUGAUCCUAGCGUGGUCGAAAGGAGAUAUGACAUCAUCAGAACUGUCCUCUCAAACCAAUCCUUCUGCACCUUGGGAAACAAGCAAGCUGUUGCCGUGGACUACCUGCGACUACCUGCCUGUCCUCCGCACCAUGUGCCAAUCAGAGAGAACUCAGGAGCAGGGCCAAGGCAGGUUGCUGCAUUACCUCGGCCUCCUUGCAGAUAAAUUGUCAUGGGAAAUCAAGUCAGCAAGUUCUGGCUCUACACCGCAUGAGAGGUUAAUGCCAUCAUCCCCAUGUUAAUGACUUGUGAUUUAGUGAAUGUAGCCCAUAUGGGCGUUCAUGAUAAAGUUUGCUGUACAUUCAUUCAUGCUUAUUAUAUUGAGUGAGAAGUUUCUACUGUAUGCAUUCCAAAUGUAUAAAUGAAAUAUGAAAUCUUAUUUUUAUAUUUAUACAUAAAAAAAUAACAUGCAUUUGUUACAAUCUGA